rnacentral:RNase_P_RNA from 1 species
AAAAACGGGAAAUUGCGGUACUGUAAUGACAGUAUUGAGGAAAGUCCAGACUGCCACAACCUGAGAUGGUUGUAGUGUUCGUGCCCAUUGCAAAAUGGGGCAGAGCUUCGCUCUGACGACGGCGAAAUCGACUCUCGCAGCCGAAAGUAGUCAUAAAGUGCACAGAGAAUGAGUAGGCUGGUGACAGCCUAGUGAAAAGUGGUAAACUCCACGAGGCAGAAACCCGAAUUUUGGUAGGGGAACUUCCUGUAGGGAAUUAAACCGAAGGGGAGAACGCAUAUAAUGCGUUAGAUAAAUAAUUUCCUAAAACAGAAACUGGCUUACGGUU